rnacentral:lncRNA from 1 species
AUGCCCAAGAGAACUCUCUACAGGAUGAGCCUGUGCACUAGAGAAGGGGUUACAGAGGCUACGGCCAGAGGAAGCUUUGUGACAGCUGCGCCUAGGGAGAGUCUUCACGACCCCUGUGCUUGGAGAAUGUACGACCGAAGGAGAGGCUGGGUACAAUUUACCAGCAGAACCCUACAGAGGAAAAGACCACAACCACAGACAAAGGAGACCAGGAAGCAGAGAAAUCCUGAGGACAAGGCCCAUGUACACCAGCAGUCUGCUGUUUGUGACCAAAAUGACCAUUUGGAGACAUCAAACAACCAGUCCUCAACCAGCAACUGA